GACGAACGCUGGCGGCGUGCUUAACACAUGCAAGUCGAGCGGUAAGGCCCUUUCGGGGGUACACGAGCGGCGAACGGGUGAGUAACACGUGGGUGACCUGCCCUCAGCUCUGGGAUAAGCCUGGGAAAACCGGGUCUAAUACUGGAUAUGACUCCAUGGCGCAUGUUGUGGGGUGGAAAGCCUUGUGCGGCUGAGGAUGGGCCCGCGGCCUAUCAGCUUGUUGGUGGGGUGAUGGCCUACCAAGGCGACGACGGGUAGCCGGCCUGAGAGGGCGACCGGCCACACUGGGACUGAGACACGGCCCAGACUCCUACGGGAGGCAGCAGUGGGGAACCUUGCGCAAUGGGCGAAAG
rnacentral:rRNA from 1 species